GAUGAACGCUGGCGGCGUGCCUAAUACAUGCAAGUCGAGCGAACAGACGAGGAGCUUGCUCCUCUGACGUUAGCGGCGGACGGGUGAGUAACACGUGGAUAACCUACCUAUAAGACUGGGAUAACUUCGGGAAACCGGAGCUAAUACCGGAUAAUAUAUUGAACCGCAUGGUUCAAUAGUGAAAGACGGUUUUGCUGUCACUUAUAGAUGGAUCCGCGCCGCAUUAGCUAGUUGGUAAGGUAACGGCUUACCAAGGCAACGAUGCGUAGCCGACCUGAGAGGGUGGUCGGCCACACUGGAACUGAGACACGGUCCAGGCUCCUACGGGAGGCAGCAGUAGGGAAUCUUCCGCAAUGGGCGAAAGCCUGACGGAGCGACGCCGCGUGAGUGAUGAAGGUCUUCGGAUCGUAAAACUCUGUUAUUAGGGAAGAACAAAUGUGUAAGUAACUAUGCACGUCUUGACGGUACCUAAUCAGAAAGCCACGGCUAACUACGUG
rnacentral:rRNA from 1 species